rnacentral:rRNA from 1 species
GACGAACGCUGGCGGCGUGCUUAACACAUGCAAGUCGAGCGGAGCGGAGAACGGGUGAGUAACGCGUGAGUAACUGCCCCCCUCUCUGGGAUAACAGUUGGAAACGGCUGCGAAUACCGGAUAGUGGGGGAUGACUCGCGUUCGAUCAGCUUGUUGGUGGGGUAGGGGCCUACCAAGGCGACGACGGGUAGCCGGCCUGAGAGGGCGACCGGCCACAUUGGGCUGAGAUACGGACCAGACUCCUACGGGGGGCAGCAGUGGGGAGUAUGUCACAAUUGGGGAAACCCUGUUGCAGCGACGCCGCGUGCGGGAUGACGGCCUUCGGGUUGUAAACCGCUUUCGGCCAUGACGCGGUAGUGGCAGAAGAAGCACCGGCUAACUACGUGCCAGCCGCCGCGGUAAUUC